UAUGGGACACAUAGUGCCUCGUCACAAGACUGCACAGAGAAGAGUUUGCAGAUACCAGACCGGCAGAGGGAAAGUGCAGCUAGUGGCCUCAAGCUGCCCCUUAGGAGACCGAAGGCUAUAGCGGGAUUCAUAAAGUCUUUGAUCAGUCAGGCUAGCAUCUGAGACAUUUUACCAAAGGAAGUUUUGAGUGGUGACGUUUCCUUAAACAAGUUAAGCUGAAACUCAGCAACUGAUGGGAAGGAAAAAAGAUGUAAAGAGCUGCAGCUCCUUACUUGGGCCCAUAAGAGAAGCAGGGGGGUAUGGAUGCUGCAGAGUGGCAAAGAGGGGGUAAGAAGAUAGAUAGCAUAAUACAAAAUGUGCAUGCAUACAGUUUCAAGCAUUGCAGUCUCAGAGAUAAAUAGCAAAAUCAAAAUUUUUUAAGGUUUACAAUCUUGUAGAUGUUUAUUUAUCAAGCUUCUGGAAGUUAAUAACUUCUGGAUGGAGGCUCUGUUUCAUUUUACAAAAUUUGAUCUCCUAGACAACUAUCUUAUUACAUUCACAAUUCCUCACAUUGCCUAAUUUUAAGGUAUUUACAAAUGCCAAAAUUACCACUUUACGAUUGGUAUUUAGAUUUUGCAAUUUAAAU
rnacentral:lncRNA from 13 species